AGAACAUACACUCGAUAGCAGCACACGGAGGAGGAGCACUGCAAACUGGGGCUCUCGCUCUGCAGAGCUCUGGAGCCUGCGCUCCCCUUCAGAAUGAGGACAGUCGCCUUACAGCCGAUGGCUUCCAGUAGCAGACCUAAGCCUGACGUCUUCCUUUCAGCUUGGCAAAUAGGAGAAGCACAUGAGGUCACCUGGCUUGCAGCUCAAGUCUAACUUGGAGACUCUUCCAAUUCCUCUCGAGUUAUCCCGAGCUACCGAAAUCGGCGUGUGUGUUUUCGCGCUGAGUUGAUGUACCCCUUUUGGUUACAUUUCUACGAGUCGGACUAACGAGAACGGAGCCCUCCGCGUUUCUGCCGCUCUCCAUUCGCUCCUGCAGCCCCCCCCGGCCGUAGCGCUCCGUACGGACCCACCGGUCGGGCCCCGACGGCAGCGCACUGCGGGCAGCCCCGGCCGCAGCCCCUCCGCCGUUCUCUCUCCGUCCGAGGUCGUUUCUCUCUCUCUCCUUUGCAAACGUUUUCCUAAAAAUAAAACUUCCACAGAAAUGUUUUAAGAC
ensembl:lncRNA